UACGUAGGGUCCGAGCGUUGUCCGGAAUUACUGGGCGUAAAGAGCUCGUAGGCGGUUUGUCGCGUCUGCCGUGAAAGUCCGGGGCUCAACUCCGGUUCUGCAGUGGGUACGGGCAGACUAGAGUGAUGUAGGGGAGACUGGAAUUCCUGGUGUAGCGGUGAAAUGCGCAGAUAUCAGGAGGAACACCGAUGGCGAAGGCAGGUCUCUGGGCAUUAACUGACGCUGAGGAGCGAAAGCAUGGGGAGCGAACAGG
rnacentral:rRNA from 1 species